rnacentral:pre_miRNA from 1 species
UAUCUAGCAAUCCUGAUGAUGUCGCAAUCGUGGGAAAGAUUUGGUCCACUAAAUUUCCCCCACCCAUAUCAUCGUCUUCUAUGGAUGGCU